rnacentral:rRNA from 1 species
GAUGAACGCUGGCGGUGUGCCUAAUACAUGCAAGUCGAGCGAACAGACGAGGAGCUUACUCCUCUGACGUUAGCGGCGGACGGGUGAGUAACACGUGGAUAACCUACCUAUAAGACUGGGAUAACUUCGGGAAACCGGAGCUAAUACCGGAUAACAUGUUGAACCGCAUGGUUCAACAGUGAAAGACGGUCUUGCUGUCACUUAUAGAUGGAUCCGCGUCGCAUUAGCUAGUUGGUAAGGUAACGGCUUACCAAGGCAACGAUGCGUAGCCGACCUGAGAGGGUGAUCGGCCACACUGGAACUGAGACACGGUCCAGACUCCUACGGGAGGCAGCAGUAGGGAAUCUUCCGCAAUGGGCGAAAGCCUGACGGAGCAACGCCGCGUGAGUGAAGAAGGUCUUCGGAUCGUAAAACUCUGUUAUUAGGGAAGGACAAAUGUGUAAGUAACUAUGCACGUCUUGACGGUACCUAAUCAGAAAGCCACGGCUAACUACGUG